rnacentral:rRNA from 1 species
GACGAACGCUGGCGGCGUGGAUAAGGCAUGCAAGUCGAACGGAACUUAUUUUGUUUAAGAUGCGAUUACAUCAAGUCAAGAAUGUUGUAAGUUUAGUGGCAGACGAGGUAGGAAUACAUACGUACAUACCCCCGAGACGGGCACAACCAGCCGAAAGGUUGGCUAAUUCCCGAUAUUGUCCCGAGAGUAAUCGAGGGACGAAACCCGCAAGGGGCUCGCGGAUUGGCGUAUGGGCAUCAGCUUGUUGGUAGGGUAACGGCCUACCAAGGCUAUGACGGCUAGGGGACGUGAGAGCGUCGACCCCCACCGACGGAACUGAGACACGGUCCGUACACCUACGGGUGGCAGCAGUCGAGAA